UAUGUGAUAAAGAUCACUUGUAAAUGAAAACUUUGGAGGUUACAGAAGAAGUAAAUGUCAGAAAUGAAGGAAAACAAUAGCAGGUAAAGGAAAGAAAGGGAGGAAUCGCAGAAAUUAGAAAAACUGAAAAGGGAAGAAAGCAGAGACCACUAAUUAGAAGUCGAGCAUCUUGGAGGAUGAAAUUAUGCCAUCAUUUUCUUCCCUUGUCGUUUUUGAUGUCUUGAGGGGCUUCAUGCACACAUAUGAAAGGAGAAACCAUGUAGCUGAUCCAGCCUGGAGACCAUCGAUGACAGCCUGGAUGAUGGACACAGUGUUCCUCCUGUUUGUUGAUCCUGUGCCUGAAGAUUGCUCAGAGCUCUUUC
rnacentral:lncRNA from 1 species